rnacentral:rRNA from 1 species
GAUGAACGCUGGCGGCGUGCCUAAUACAUGCAAGUCGAGCGAACGGACGAGAAGCUUGCUUCUCUGAUGUUAGCGGCGGACGGGUGAGUAACACGUGGAUAACCUACCUAUAAGACUGGGAUAACUUCGGGAAACCGGAGCUAAUACCGGAUGAUAUUUUGAACCGCAUGGUUCAAAAGUGAAAGACGGUCUUGCUGUCACUUAUAGAUGGAUCCGCGCUGCAUUAGCUAGUUGGUAAGGUAACGGCUUACCAAGGCAACGAUGCAUAGCCGACCUGAGAGGGGGAUCGGCCACCCUGGAACUGAGACACGGUCCAGACUACUACGGGAGGCAGCAGUAGGGAAUCUUCCGCAAUGGGCGAAAGCCUGACGGAGCAACGCCGCGUGAGUGAUGAAGGUCUUCGGAUCGUAAAACUCUGUUAUUAGGGAAGAACAUAUGUGUAAGUAACUGUGCACAUCUUGACGGUACCUAAUCAGAAAGCCACGGCUAACUACGUG